rnacentral:rRNA from 1 species
CGAAAGGCCUGCUAAUACCGGAUAAGCUCACGGACCCGCAUGGGUUUGGGAGAAAAGGCGCUGGAGUCAGUGGCGCUGGCAGAGGAGGGGUCCGCGGCCCAUUAGCUGGUUGGCGGGGUAACGGCCCACCAAGGCGACGAUGGGUAGCCGGCCUGAGAGGGCGACCGGCCACACUGGGACUGAGACACGGCCCAGACUCCUACGGGAGGCAGCAGUCGGGAAUUUUGCACAAUGGCCGAAAGGCUGAUGCAGCAACGCCGCGUGAGCGAAGAAGGCCUUCGGGUUGUAAAGCUCUGUUGCCUGCGAAGAAGGGCCCUGUCAGGAAAUGGGCGGGGUUUGACGGUAGCAGGCGAGGAAGCCCCGGCAAACUACGUGCCAGCAGCCGCGGUAAAUACGUAGGGGGCGAGCGUUGUCCGGAAUUACUAGGGCGUAAAGGGCGUGUAGGCGGCCUGUUAAGUCAGGGGUGAAAGACCGGGGCUCAACCCCGGGGAUGCCUCUGAAACUGGCGGGCUUGAGUACUCUAGAGGGCAGUGGAAUUCCCGGUGUAGCAGUGAAAUGCGUAGAGAUCAGGAGGAACACCAGUGGCGAAGGCGGCUGCCUGGGGAGUCACUGACGCUGAGGCGCGAAAGCUAGGGGAGCAAACAGGAUUAGAUACCCUGGUAGUCCUAGCCGUUUACGAUGAGCGCUAUGUGUGAGGGGUAUCGACCCCCCUCGUGCAGUAGCUAACGCAUUAAGCGCUCCGCCUGGGGAGUACGGCCGCACGGUUGACACUCAAAGGAAUUGACGGGGGCCCGCUCAAGCUGCGGAGCUUGUGGUUUUUUUCGAAGCAACGCGUAGAACCUUACCAGGGCUUGACAUCCACCGAAUCCUGCAGAGAUGCGGGAGUGCCUCUCUAAUGAGAGGAACGGUGAGACAGGUGGUGCAUGGUUGUCGUCAGCUCGUGUCGUGAGAUGUUGGGUUAAGUCCCGCAACGAGCGCAACCCCUGUCGCAUGUUGCCAGCGGGUAAAGCCGGGCACUCAUGCGAGACUGCCGGUGGCAAACCGGAGGAAGGUGGGGAUGACGUCAAAUCAUCAUGCCCCUUAUGUCCUGGGCUACACACGUGCUACAAUGGCCGUCACAGAGCGAGCCGAACCUGCG